GGGCGCGUAGCUCAGCCUGGUUAGAGCGCGUCUCUGAUAAAGACGAGGUCCCUGGUCCGAAUCCAGGCGCGCCCA
rnacentral:tRNA from 1 species